UAUUAAAAACAUGAGUUAAAAAGAGAGAUUUGUAAAGGGUGUACUUAUAUAUGCUGAGCACUGCAUACAUAUAAAAUGGUUACAUACAUCAGUGCCUAAUCAUCCAACAAUAGCACUUGUUUUUAAAACAAACAAACAAACAAACAAGCACAAAUCUAAUAAACAAAGAGACUCACAGCAUCUACACAUUGUUAGACACGUGAUUUUCUGUAUUUUAGAGUGAGUCUUGCUUGAUAAAAGUCUGCAUAUGAAUAAAUGUAAAUAAAAAAUGAAUAAAUGUACAAGAAUAAGUGUAAGUGAAUAAAUGUAAAUGAUUAAAAUGUAAAAGUAAGAAAUGUAGACAUUCGUCUAGACUUUUGUUCUCUUAAUAUAACAUACACACAUACAUAUGUCUUAUGAUGCACAACUAUAGGUUUAGUAAUAGCCAAAAGUAAAACCUGUUGACUUUUCUUAUGACAAAAGUCGUUUGAAUAUUAAGUAAAGAUCAGGUUCUGUGAAGAAAUUUAGCAAAAUUCACUGUAAAUAUAUGGAAGCUCAAAUUGUGAAGUGAGCCGCCUCGUCAGUGAUGGCUUUACCCAUUGUAACAGAAUGAAAUUUCUGUCACUUUUUUUUAUCCUUAGAAUAAUGGAAAUAAAAAAUGCUGUUUAAAUGGAACUACAGGGCACUAGAGGGCGCUGGUCAAACACCUGGAAUGUAUAAUAGGUGAGUGGGUGAAUGAAGAAGUAGAUUCAAUUGUGGUAGAGGGAAGACGUGGUUCCUUGGAGCUGCUUCAAACUGUUUGUAUAGUGAAGUCCUAGAAGUGAACCCUUGCGUUUAAAGCUCAGCCUAUGAUCAGAUCAUCCAAACACCCUCAUGAGAGACGAACAAACAAAUAAUCCUGCUUCAGUCGUAAGAUUUAAAGUGAUUUACUGCACUGUUGGAUUAUUAUUAUUAUUAUUGGAGUUUUCAGGGAUGCUCAUUCUGACUUCAAUGUGAACACUAUGUAAUGCGUCUCCAUUACCUUCUUCUGUCCAUUUCACACUCCUGAUCUCAUCUGUGUACGCCGGAGCAGGAUUUACAAAGAUUUUGCCAAUGAUGUCCUUAAUGUCCUCAAUGUUUUCCUCAGUGCGCUCAAUGUUCAUAAUGUUCAUAGUGUUCCCAGUAGUUUCGUUCUCAUUAAUGUUCUCAAUGUUCCUAUUGUUCUCAUCUUUUUCAUUCUUAUUAAUGUUCUCAAUGUGAAUUCUGUAUUUUUGUUUUAGAAAGUCAUGCAGUUCUUCGUUACUCAUCUUCCAAUCUUUAAGAUCAUGUUUUACUUUAGUUUUGUCAUUAUAAACCAGAUAGCACAUGG